GCCCCGCUGGUGUAGUGGUCUAACACAGCGCAUCAUACUCCAACGCUAACGACUAUACAAGUAACGCAGCCCAGGGUUCGAAUCCCUGGUGGGGUA